rnacentral:misc_RNA from 1 species
AAAGUCGUAACAAGGUUUCCGUAGGUGAACCUGCGGAAGGAUCAUUACUGAAUAACUAAAUCUUUAGUUUUUCAUACCCCAUUGUUGACUCUCCCAUGUUGCUUCCACGUGGCCUGGCUUCUUUUAGCCCUUUGGCUUGUUGUGUUUCUAACACAACUUGACAGGGAGUUGCCCGUGGUAAGACCACAAAAUUAAACUUGCAUAAUAAUACCAUGUCUGAAAUUCAUUGCAAAUGAAAUAAAACUUUCAACAACGGAUCUCUAGGCUCUU